CACCCCUUACACAUUGCACCACUCACACACACCACUGCUCAUAUGCCCUACUACAGCCCCAUUUCUCAGCAGACCUCAGGUAAGUUGUCAAACUGUUCUUAAACGGUUUGACUACUUACUCUGGGAGGGGGUCCCGGCACUGUUGACACCAUAACCACUACACUGAGCUGUAGUGGUUAUUGUGUCUGGAUUAUUUCUUUAAAUAAUCUACAAGUGCCCCUCCCGAGAUCAG